GACGAACGCUGGCGGCGUGCUUAACACAUGCAAGUCGAACGGAAAGGCCCCUUUGGGGGUACUCGAGUGGCGAACGGGUGAGUAACACGUGAGUAACCUGCCCUUGACUUCGGGAUAACUUCAGGAAACUGGGGCUAAUACUGGUUAGGAAUCCUUGCUGCAUGGGGGGGGUUGGAAAGCUUCGGCGGUUUUGGGUGGACUCGCGGCUUAUCUGCUUGUUGGGGGGGUGGUGGGUUACCGAGCCUUGUUCGGGUAGCCGGCCUGCGGGGGCGACCGGCGACAUUGGGACUUAGGGGCGGCCCAGGCACCGACGGGAGCGAGAAGGGGGAAAGAUUGACGGAGGGGCGGAGCCCUAAUGCUGAAGCGCUGCGGGCGGGAUGACGGCCUUCGGGUUGAAAACCGCAUGCAGCAGGGGCGAAGCUUGUGGUGACGGUACCUGCUGAGAAAGCCCCGGCUAACUACGUG
rnacentral:rRNA from 1 species